UACGGAGGGUGCGAGCGUUGUCCGGAAUCACUGGGCGUAAAGGGCGCGUAGGCGGCCCUGGCAGUCGGUGGUGAAAGCCCGCGGCUCAACUGCGGGUCGGCCACCGAUACUCCAGGGCUCGAGUUUGGUAGAGGCAGAUGGAAUUCCGGGUGUAGCGGUGGAAUGCGUAGAGAUCCGGAAGAACACCGGUGGCGAAGGCGGUCUGC
rnacentral:rRNA from 1 species